GCGGGUCCCUCCCCACGAGCACCACGGCUUCUGCUUCGCAGCCCGGCGACCGGGGCUGCUCCUCAGCCGCCGCCGCCGGCCGAGCAGCGCCGCGCCCGCGGCCCGCGGCCGCCAUGCAGUUUAUGUUGCUUUUUAGCCGUCAGGGGAAGCUUCGGCUGCAGAAAUGGUAUGUGCCGCUGUCAGACAAAGAGAAGAAAAAGAUCACAAGAGAACUUGUGCAAACCGUCUUAGCGCGGAAGCCGAAGAUGUGCAGCUUUCUGGAGUGGCGCGAUCUGAAGAUUGUUUACAAGAGAUACGCUAGUCUGUAUUUUUGCUGUGCUAUUGAGGAUCAGGACAAUGAGCUAAUUACCCUGGAAAUAAUUCAUCGUUACGUGGAACUACUUGACAAGUAUUUUGGCAGUGUGUGUGAGCUUGAUAUCAUCUUUAAUUUUGAGAAGGCCUAUUUUAUUUUGGAUGAGUUUCUUUUGGGAGGGGAAGUGCAGGAAACAUCUAAGAAAAACGUCCUUAAGGCCAUCGAGCAGGCCGAUCUGCUGCAGGAGAGCCAGAAUGAAGAAUGGGGAGGUUUGUCUGAGGAUAUCUUAUGAUAAAGAGCAGUCUAAGACUUUAGUUCCUUUGACCCCCACCUUAUUUAUUGGAUGCAAAAGAAGCCGAAACCCCACGUAGUGUUCUUGAAGAGAUUGGACUGACAUAACUCUCCUCCCCUGUUGAUGACUUCUUGUGGCAUUUCACACUGUAGAUGGUCACUGCCUUCAUGUCCAUGUUAGCUAAUGGUGUAAGAUGUCUUGUCAGUAUUACUGUUUCACUAAGCUGCUUCAUUCAGGCCUACACAAUUUUUUUUUAAAGGGAAUUUUGGUUAAUCAAUUGAUAAUUUAAGGGACUUACAUGAAUUAGAUAGAGAAAAAGAAAGGUACCUGGGUAUUUUAAGGUUUAUAGGUCUGUUUCUCUUAAUUGGAUAUCUUAUGAAAAUGACAAUCAGGUUAAAUACAUUUAUUAACUACUGUCUUUGGCAAAGGAAACGUAUGAAGCCAAAAGCCAGUGCACUCCAAUAUAUGAGAAUAAAGGGAAUUGACAUAUCAAAUGAAUGAAAACUAUGUUGAAAUUUUCAAAGAAAAACAUCAAGUUUAUACCAAAGACCCUAUUUGGAAACUACAUACCUAAAAAAAAAAAAAAAAAAAAAAGGAAUACCCAGACUAAAUUGGAAGUAUACCGUUUUACUCUGAAAAUUAGUUCUUUGGCAUUCUAAACCUGGGAUGAAGAAGAGAUUGUUUCAUAAUGGCAAGCAUAUUGUUUUUAAGGCCAAGGAACAUUAGACUCCCGAGACAAAUUUUGUGGUCAUAAUCAUUUUGUCACUUAGUUGGAUUUUGAUGCCCCAAAACAAAAUAGAACGUUGACUUGCCAGGAAUUCUUCAUGACCGAUCCUUAUGGAAAAUGUUCCUCUCCACCAAGUGUUCAUUAUGUCAUUUAAAGCACGAAGGUUCCUUCUGGGGUGCUGGUUGCAGCCACAUUUAUGUUGCUCUCCUUUAUUGCUUCCUGCCACUUAGAAGUGCUGCAAACUUUAGGAGCUCCCUGCCCUUCAAUAGCACUGAGAAAUAGUUAUGAGAAAUCUUACAAAACUAUAAGCAUACCAUCUCUCAUAUCAAAGUGAGAGCUGAGGUGAAAUGGCAUUAGUAGGCCCUCUAUUUUUAAGAGCUAUUUCAAUGUCACCUUUAUACAUACUCCAUAUGUAAACUCAUCUUCACGGUUCAUACUCUCAUUUGUAUUUGCUGGGCUGGAUUAAGCUUUAUCGUGAUUGUGAUUAAUAUUCAGGCCAUGUGUGCAAUGUCUCAUCACAUCGCCAAUUAGUUUUAAUAAAUGUUCAAUGUACACUAUUGUAGUGUGUUUUUCUCUCUCUCUCUUCCCAAAAGCUUGUCAAACUGGAGAGUUGCUGAAGGAAAAAUUCUAAGGCCUUGUUUUUUUCAGUUACCGUGUUGAAUAUUCACCUCCAUUUGAAUGUGGUGGUUGUUAAAAGCACACACGAGAUAAAGAGAUAAAUGGCAGAUAUAAGGAGUCUUCAUAUACUUCAAGUUCAUUAAAAAACAAUAUGGAUUCCAUGCUACAGAGAGCCUAUCUGCACAUUUAUUUUUAAUCAAUAAAUGCCGCUUUUAAAACCUGA